rnacentral:rRNA from 1 species
GGGACACGUGGUAUCCUGUCUGAAUAUGGGGGGACCAUCCUCCAAGGCUAAAUACUCCUGACUGACCGAUAGUGAACCAGUACCGUGAGGGAAAGGCGAAAAGAACCCCGGCGAGGGGAGUGAAAAAGAACCUGAAACCGUGUACGUACAAGCAGUGGGAGCACCUUCGGGUGUGACUGCGUACCUUUUGUAUAAUGGGUCAGCGACUUAUAUUCUGUAGCAAGGUUAACCGUAUAGGGGAGCCGCAGGGAAACCGAGUCUUAACUGGGCGUUAAGUUGCAGGGUAUAGACCCGAAACCCGGUGAUCUAGCCAUGGGCAGGUUGAAGGUUGGGUAACACUAACUGGAGGACCGAACCGACUAAUGUUGAAAAAUUAGCGGAUGACUUGUGGCUGGGGGUGAAAGGCCAAUCAAACCGGGAGAUAGCUGGUUCUCCCCGAAAGCUAUUUAGGUAGCGCCUCGUGAAUUCAUCUUCGGGGGUAGAGCACUGUUUCGGCUAGG